GCCACAAAGCUGUCCCCUAGGUGUAUUUGG
rnacentral:piRNA from 1 species